rnacentral:lncRNA from 1 species
UUCGGGAAUUUGGGGCUCUCCCAAUCCCGGAAUUCUGGCGUUUCCCGGCAGGGCCAAGCGCACGCUGGGGCUGGGCGGCCUCUAUGGAGAGAACGAGCUGCAGCAGCUGGAAAAACAGCUGGAAAAACAGCUGGAAAAACAGCUGGAAAAACAGACGGAAAAACAGCCGGAAAAGGCUCCGGAGCCGCCGGAAUUCCGGGAACGGGAACGGGCGGCGGCCGAGCGGCAGCUGGGGCACCUCGGGGACAUCCUGUGAGACGGGAUUUGGGAAUUCCCAAUGGGAUUUGGGAAUUCUGAGGGGAUUUGGGAAUUCCAAUGGGAUUUGGGAAUUUCCGGUGGGAUUUGGGAAUUCCCAGGGGAUUUGGGAAUUCUUGAUGGGAUUUUGGGAAUUCCCAAUGGGAUUUUGGAAUUCCUGAUGGGAUCUUUGAGAAUUCCCGGUGAGAUUUGGGGAUUCCCGAUGGGAUCUUAGGGAAUUCCCGAUGGGAUUUGGGAAUUCCUGAGGGCAUUGGGAAUUCCAGCUGGGAUUCGGGGCUGGAAUGGGAAUUUUGGGAUUGGGAACUGGGAUUUGGCCUUGGGAAUGGCAGAAUUCCAGGGAAUUCCUUUUCCCGCAGCUCCAAGUACGAGGAGGAGCGGAGCGCUCCCAUGGCCUUCGCCCUCAGCACCUUCAUGGCCCACGCCGGGAUCCGGCCCCAGGAAUUCCGGGAAUUCCGGGAAUCUCGGAAUUCCGGAGCCUCCGAGAAGAUCCCGGACAAGGACAAGUGGCUGCCCUUCUUCCCCAAGGCCAAAAAGAGCAGCAGCUCCAGGAAGGAGAAGGAGCAGAGGCAGAAUCCGAUCCUGAAAUACAUCGGGAAACCCCGGAGCUGCUCCCAGAGCACCUUUCACGUCCCCCUGUCCCCCGGGGAAGCCGGGAAGCCGGGGAGCGUCCGGACCAUGAUCCAGCACUUCGAGAACGGCCACGGGGAAACGCCGGAGCCGCCGGAGCGCGCCAGGUGGGAGGGAGCCCCGGAGCCUGGGAAUUCCCGGAAUUCCGGGGGUUCCCCAAACCC